rnacentral:miRNA from 1 species
UGGGCAAGUCACCCUGGCUACC